rnacentral:lncRNA from 1 species
GUUUAGGAUCUCUGGCUCCUUCCCAGAUUGUGAAUCUAUUCGAAGAAAUAAUAUAGGCUAGUGGGAUAUGACUUCCCUGUUCACUCUCGGCAGAAACUUGUAAGUGGCCCAAUCCUGCUUGCGAAUGGCUUGCAGAACUAGGUUCGUCAUGGGAUUAUUUCAGUGAGGUUUUCAGAGCAAAGAAAAUAGUGUUCAGGGGGUAAUAGCUGAGGUCUGUAUGUGAUGUAACCCUUUUAGAAAAGGUCAGGCCAGUUAAAGAGGGGAAUCUAGAGGGAAUCUACAUUGGUGUAAGUUAGACUUUCUCCUACCCCUCCCCUCUGGCUGAGCACACUGAUUGUCUGCACAGAGAAUUUUAGCUACUGGAGUAUUUGUGUUAUAAACACCAUUUUCAGCUGUUGUCCACACUGAUUUAUAGAACAGGAUUUACAAAAUAUCUUAUCUUUUCAGGCUUGGCACCUGCGUAAGGCAGAAGUGGAGUAAAAUACCAUUCCACCCCUGGUGGUGGUUGAAACUACCUUUGCCCUGAAGCACAUGAGGAGCCUUCAUGUGGUGGCUGAGCUGAAGGGGUGGCUGAAAACUGCCUAAAUGCAGCACCCAAAAACACUGCAGGUGUUCUGCUAGGCCAUGUCUGCUUGUUGUUCCACAUCUUGAAACCUGUUUCUGUACAUACUUGGAACCAUCAGCACACCUGACUGGGUAUUCCCCUGCAGCUGUCCAUAGAAGAGAAAGACAUUAAAAAGCUGUGAGUCAUUACUGCUCUGAAACGUCUUGAGGUCAUGGACGAGGCAGAAGGUGACACCGCACAUCCCAGGGAGCUGAGCUGCUUGCCCACAGACAAAGUAGGAUCUUUACUUUGAAUUGCUUUGAUGUGAGACAGAGGUGUUCUGUACCGACGUGUUUUUCUGGUCCGGGAAUCAGUGGCAAAGUUUGAGCUCAGUUAGCACUAGGUCAGUCCUACAUUUUUAACUAGUAUUUAACUGCAGUAAGGUGUUACAGGGACUGGUCCAGCAUUAUAAAUUGUACUGGAGGCUUCUGCCUA